UACGUAGGUGGCAAGCGUUACUCGGAAUCACUAGGCGUAAAGCGCAGGUAGGCGGCUUGGUAAGUUUCUUGUGAAAGCUCCCGGCUUAACUGGGAGAGGUCAAGGAAUACUGCCAGGCUAGAGUGUGGUAGAGGAAGCUAGAAUUCCCGGUGUAGCGGUGAAAUGCGUAGAUAUCGGGAGGAAUACCUAUGGCGAAAGCAGGCUUCUGGGCCAUCACUGACGCUGAGCUGCGAAAGCUAGGGGAGCAAACAGG
rnacentral:rRNA from 1 species